UUUCAUGAUGACAAAGGGCCAAUGGCCUGAUCUAAUCCCAGCUCUUCGAAUGCCUCAAAUUAACGCAGAGUGCAUAUUGAGAUUAAAUUUACUCUGAUCCU
rnacentral:snoRNA from 1 species